UACAUAAUGGUGAUUAUAGUUGCUAUUUUUUUGAAGACGAACAAUAAUAGUGUGCCGAUAAGCAAGAACAAAUGAUUUUUGC
rnacentral:ncRNA from 16 species